rnacentral:rRNA from 1 species
UACAGAGGUCUCAAGCGUUGUUCGGAUUCAUUGGGCGUAAAGGGUGCGUAGGUGGCGCCGUAAGUCAGGUGUGAAAUUUCGGAGCUUAACUCCGAAACUGCAUUUGAUACUGCGGUGCUUGAGGACUGGAGAGGAGACUGGAAUUUACGGUGUAGCAGUGAAAUGCGUAGAGAUCAUGAAGGAAGACCAGUGGCGAAGGCGGGUCUCUGGACAGUUCCUGACACUGAGGCACGGAAGGCCAGGGGGAGCAAAACGGG